GCUUUUGGGAUAGCAUUGGAAAUGUAAUUGAAGAAAAUACGUAAUAAAAAAAAAGAAAAAAAAAUCUUCUGUUUUACAGAUAAGAAAAGCAUGCCAGAGGUGGUGCUGCAAUGCCUUUAAUCCCAGUACUUGGGAAGCAGAGACAGGCAGAUCUCUGAGUUCAAGAUGAGCCUGGCCUACAAAGCAAAUUCCAGGACAGACAGGGCUACACAGAGAAACCCUGUAUAUAUAUAUUUGUGUGUGUGUGUGUGUAUGUGUGUGUACACACGUAUGCACACCUGUGUUUGACUUAUAGGUACGUAAAUUCAUUAACUUACAUCUUUUUUGGUUUGGCUUGGUUUUUGAGACAGGGUCUUUCUACAUAGACUUGGCUAUCCUGAAACUCACUAUGUAGACCAGGCUGGUCUCACACUCACAGAAAUCCAUGUGCCUCUGCCUCUCAAGUCCUGGGACUAAAUGUGUGUGCCACCAUGCCCAGCUGAACCCACAUCUUAAAGCUAUACACUAUUCUGCUGGGAAGGAGAAGUCCAGAUAUUUUAUUUUAUACAUUUUUUUUUACUUCAUGCAUUUUAUUUUAUUUUAUUUUAUUUUAUUUUAUUUUAUUUUAUUUUCAGACAGGUCUGCAACUCACUGUGUAGCCAAGGAUGACCUUGAACUUCUGCUCCUCCUGGCUCUACCUUCCGAGUGUUGAUUUUCCAGGCAUGUGGCACCAUGCCUUGUUUAUACAAUGCCGGGAAUUGAUGUUGGAGCUUCAUAUAUGCUAAGUAAGCAUUGACCAACUGAGAUGUUUGAAAAUCAUCUGCCAGACUCCAGAAUAAUAGCUUAACUGUGUGUGCACAAGACAAAGCACUGCUGGGAAUUAUUCUAGGUUUGGGAUGCCUUUAGAUUUCACAAUCUGAUUUGGUUGUGUUUUUAGGAACACAUAUAAGAGCAGUGAGCUCCUCUGUUGAUGCAGAUGUUCUUUAUAUGACAGAAAGAUUUUAGUCCCAUCAGGGCAGGCACUUGUCUGAUUCUUCUCCAGGGCCUGUACCAGGACUCAGUGACGGCUGCUUGCAGUGGGUAGGUGGACCAAUAAUGGUUUGGGCACUGGGAUACACAUCUUAAGCAUGGAGCCCUGGGUUCAAUGCCCAGCACCACAAAACAAAACAAGACAGAACAAAAGCAAAAACAAAACAGUCCAAAGGGAAAGUGAUGGUCUGGAAGCCAUAUUAUCAACAUGCUGAGCACCAGCAAUAAGAAAUGUUCUAAUCAAAAUGAAUCCCAGUCUGGGAGAUGUCUCAUGGGUUGUUGCGGGGAAUAUUACAAAACAAGUCUGUAUGUCCCUGCGCUUGUGCUGCCUACUCUCUGCCCUGACGGUGGCCUGGCCGGUCAUGCACUGGCGGGGAAUGGCUGACCUCCUUUUAUCUUGUGGAGACUCUGACUCAGAACUCCACAAUCUCUCCACCCAACUUGCUAGGUUCCCAUUGUCAAGUUGUUACCACGCCAACCACAUGCUUCAAAUUCCCCCACGGCCUUUGUGGUGCACCUCAGGCAAACCCACGCUUUGCCACCAUACCUUUCUUUCUUGAAUCCAGACGAGCCGCUGCGUGAAGGAAAACACAACACAAACUUAGCUCAGAAAUGAAGGUAACUCAAUCACUGGGCACAGCAACUAAAAUCUCAAUCUUGUAAGCCUUGUUAAAUCUAAAUCCUCUGAUGGCGAACCCUAAAGGAUCCGCCAUUGAAACUGGGAGACCCGUAGCUACAUCCUGUUCUCAGGCUACCCUCGUCC
rnacentral:lncRNA from 1 species